AACUAAACAUAGCUUAAUAAAUUAAUAUCAUAAAAUACUUUACAUAAUUUAAAUAAAUCAUUUAUAUUAAAGUAUAGGUGAUAGAAAUUAUAUUCAACGCCAUAGAGAGAGUACCGCAAGGGAAACAUGAAAGAAAAUUAUAAGUAAUAAAUAGCAAAGUUUAACACUUGUACCUUUUGCAUAAUGAUUCAACUAGAAAUUAUUAGCAAAGGGUACUAAAGUUAACUUACCCGAAACCAGACGAGCUACCUAUUAGCAGUUUUAAGAACUAACCCGUCUAUGUGACAAAAUAGUGGGAUGACUAUAAGGUAGAGGCGACAAACCUAUCGAGUCUGGUGAUAGCUGGUUGUCCAGAACAGAAUUUUAGUUCUAAUUUAAAUUUACAAAAAACUAAAGCAAAUCUAAUGUAAGUUUAAAUAAUAAUCUAAAAAGGUACAGCCUUUUAGAUGAGGGAUACAACCCUAAUUAGAGAGUAAAUUCUACUCACCACAAUAGUUGGCCUAAAAGCAGCCACCAAAUAAGAAAGCGUUCAAGCCCAACAGUGUUUUAAAACUAAUUCUAUCACAAAACUGAACUCCUAAUAUAAAACUGGACUAUUCUAUCUAUAGAUAGAAGCAAUAAUGUUGAUAUGAGUAACAAGAAAUAUUCUCCAUGCACACGUGUAUAUCAGAACGAAUAAUUCACUGAUAGUUAACAGAAUGAAUAUAAACAACUAUUAAACUCUCAUUAUCCACUGUUAGUCCAACACAGGAGUGUAACUAAGGAAAGAUUAAAAGAAGUAAAAGGAACUCGGCAAACAUUAGCUCCGCCUGUUUACCAAAAACAUCACCUCUAGCAUAAAUAGUAUUAGAGGCACUGCCUGCCCAGUGACUUUAGUUUAACGGCCGCGGUAUCCUGACCGUGCAAAGGUAGCAUAAUCACUUGUUCUCUAAAUAAGGACUUGUAUGAAUGGCUUCACGAGAGCUUUGCUGUCUCUUACUUCCAAUCAGUGAAAUUGACAUUUUCGUGAAGAGGCGAAAAUAAUCAAAUAAGACGAGAAGACCCUAUGGAGCUUUAAUUAACUAACUCAUAAAUUAAAAAUUAAUAUCAAAAAGAAGUAAACAUAUUUUAAUUGAGUUAACAAUUUAGGUUGGGGUGACCUCGGAGUAAAAUUUAACCUCCGAAAAUAUUCUAUUUAGACUUACCAGUCAAAAUUAUUUAACUUUAUACUGAUCCGCUUGCGAUCAACGGAACAAGUUACCCUAGGGAUAACAGCGCAAUCCUAUUUUAGAGUUCAUAUCGACACUAGGGUUUACGACCUCGAUGUUGGAUCAGGACAUCCCAAUGGUGCAGCAGCUAUUAAUGCGUUCGUUUGUUCAACGAUUAAAGUCCUACGUGAUCUGAGUUCAGACCGGAGUAAUCCAGGUCGGUUUCUAUCUAUUCAUAAGUCCCUCCCAGUACGAAAGGACAAGAGAGGCAAGGCCUACUUAAAAUGAGCGCCUUAACCAGACAACUAAUCUUAAUCUUAUAUAUAAACUUAAUCACCCAAAAAAAGGGUUCA
rnacentral:rRNA from 1 species